CAGCGAGUUCAAAUGGCUCUCAAAUCUACUGAGACAGUUGAAUUAUUGCAAAAGUCUGUCUAGGCCUGUAGACAUGUGUUCUUUUGACUCCCCCUCCAUCCUACUGAAAAAUAAACUACUGUUCUUCAUGGCUUAUUUUGUCUCUGUCAAGGAAACUUUCUGCUCUCAUCUCAGGAGGAUUGUACAAUAGCAAUCUGAUCCUGACCUUUCUACCUCUUCCUUGAAUAACAGAUGAAAAUUGGACAGUGAGAAGUGGUGUGUGCUCCGUAACUUGUAUCCCAGGCACAAUCUAAUGACACUCUUCUCCUAGUAAAAACAGCAGUUGCAGCAAAGGUUAAGGUAAACAGGUUUAGCUAAUUACCUCUUAAUCAAAUCCAGUUAUAAUUUACUGCUCUCCUCUGAAGCUCUGUGCCUGCUAAACCAUGGGCUUUGGUUGGAUUAGCUUAUCUCUGAUAAAUGCAGUGUGAUUAAUUUCUCCCACAGUACAGCAGCACGUAAAUAUCAAGUGAGAAUAAUGUAUGACCAAAUAAACUCAGCUCACACACCAUCACAGCAGAACUCUCCAAGGCCCCCGUGUACCAGGCACUGAAAUAGAAUCCCUUUUUUUUAUUUUUUACAGAAGGUGAUGGUGGGGAAGAAAUCAUUUCUGUGUUACUCUUUUUUCCAGGGACAAGAAAGAAAACACCAUAAGUGAAACACACUGGUGCUUUCAGGAUUAAAAAAUCACUCUGCAUUCAAGUAAUGUGCACUUUUGUGUGAAAAUCCUUGCUACAGCUCUUCUGUUGUGUGCCUCAUGAAAAGAGAGCUCAAGUUCAAGGCUGUGUGGAAUUUUUCUCAAGCCAUUGGAGUUCCAACCAGUAAGUAAGGAUCCCAGCACACAGGCCAAAUUAAUUCCAUCAUCAUCAAAUGGAAACAAAGUGCCUGAGACAAAGUGACUGAGAGGUCAAGGAAAUCUGCAGCUGAGACUCAAACCGGGGCUGGUUGGGAAUUCAGCACGUUAAAGGUGAACGAGGGGGCAUUUUUGGAGCUUGGGGUACACUCCAGUGAUUGCACACAAUCUUUCAUGCUUCUUGUGGCUUUAUCUCAGACUUACUGUUGACUGAUGCACGAGAUGAAACAACGAGGGUUGUUCUGGUAUGUGAGUUUCCUUCUUUGAAUUAAUUCUGUGCUGCUGAUGCAAUCGCUGUAUGAAGCGACUCCUUAGAAAACAUUUUUAAAUUCUACACCAGUGCAGGAAAGCUUUAGUGUGUCUGACAGCUCUGGAACUGCCCGGUCAGAAGACAGGUCAGGGUUCAACCUAUUAAACUUUUGGUAGCUGCGAGAUGCGACAUGAGCUGAAUUGCCCAUCCACCAACACAAACCUGAUUGCUGCUCCCAUUUCCUGGUGCAGCAAAGGACAAAGCAUGAAAGAAAUUAAUGCACACAUUUUAUCCCCUGCAGGGCUGACAUCUUUCUGGCUGACUGAUAAAAACCCCUCAGAUGAUCAGAUAGGGGAACUUUCUCAGCUACAUGGUUGGUUUGCCUCAGAGCAGCACUGUUCUUUUAGAGUCACUUCCAGUCAAUGGCAGGUCUGGGAAAACAGGCAAAAAGCCCAUAAGCUAGCUUUUGGGUGAAAACAGCUGUGUGUUUUCAGUGCAAUUGUAAUCUGGCACCUUGAAAUUGUGACCCUUUAAAUUUGGUGUCAUGUGAACCCUGAUCACUCAUCCCUUGGGGGAGAGGAAGCCUAUCUGAGAGGCUCUCACACUUCCAAACUGCCCCUCUCUUCGUGGCUUCAAGCCACAUAAAAGUAAUAACCUUUCCAUAAGAUAUUGCUCAGUGGCUCUUGGAAAUGUUGUGGAAUAGGACUUACUCAGCAGAUUUGAAUAAAACCCAGUCUCUUGUUUUUACAGUGUCUGCGGAUUAAAGUGUGAAAUGUAACCGUUCUGACAAAAGUCUGUGCCUUUCCAUAGCCCUGUUCCGUAUCAAACCUGCAGCAUUUUGGGUGCCUGUUGUGGGAUGCCAUCUGGCUCUGUUCUGCCUUAACUGGGCACUGGGUUGUGAACCUUGUUCAUGUUUCCAAAAACCACCCAACACAGCCUUGCUACCCCUGAGCAUUCUCCUCUGGCCUCUUUUCUUGCAUCCUUGCUCCUAUUUCUUUUAGCUCCUCUUUGCACACCCUCACACAGCAGUGGCCUCAUAAUUUAGUCAGUCUUACCUCAGCCAAAAUCUUCUUUCAGAGCUUUGCCUCUUGGCCCAGACUCCCCCUCCACACAAGGCGUAGAGGAAAUUCUGUGAUUUAACCUGUCACCAUCUAGAUGUAGAGUUAAUUAUCCUGGAAGGCUCCAAGACACUUCAACUUUUUGUUGUGUUAUUAGGCACUCAUGUGUCUGGAAUAAUCACCUUAGAUAUCCUCCAUACUUAAGGAAGGCAAAAAAAGGUGAUUUACGGUUUUGCUUCAUCUCAUGACUGAAGUUAGGGAGAUAAAUUCCUCUCUGGUGUUCCCAGGGGACAGUGGGACUGCAGGAGGACACGGAUCUGAGGUGAACUGUGGCAUCUGGUUAUCCUUGGAGUCCCCAGUCUGCUGGGAAAUCCCAUCCUGGAGCAACUGGUUUUAAAGUCAGGAGCCUCCCAUAAAAUUCUGAUAGAUUUUAGGAGGAACCUUGGCAAAUAGAAACUGUUUUUUUUUCAAAAUGGUUCCUCUGUGGGACAAUUAACUCUGUUGAGCUAUGAUAAGUCUUUUUAAAACAGAUAAUUCUUAGCAGAUGUUAAGAGAGUACGUGUUGCAUGUUAUUUGCAUUUAAUUGUUGAAUCCUACUGAGCUAAGUUAAUUUUAUCUUUGCCCUUAUCCUUAAUGCACAGAAAUAAAUACUUCCUUUCCACAUGGCCUGUUUAGUUUUACCUGGGCAGUUUUCAAACCUAGGUCAUAAAGUUUGGAAAAAUUGCCGGCUGACCAUGAAACAGAUGAAUUUGGAGGCAUUGAUAAACAUAACCUGGACUGGGAGGGUUCCAUCAGCUGGAAGUUUGAGUGCUCAAUUCCAGUGACACCAGCUCUGAGAACCUUUCACUUUGGAAAGAGAGUGGGAUUCUUCUUCUGUCAUCUCUGGAGAAAAAACACAGAUUAAAAUGUAUUUUUUUGUGCCUUUCUCUGCCAUUGUUCCUGUGGGGGAAUGGUCUAUAUGUUUAUGGGACAUAAACAUACAGACCAUUCUACACCCAUGGGCUUGUUGGUCUCAAGGUUGCUCAAGGCCAUGAGGAAAGGAUGAUGCUCUGACUCUUCUCAUCCUGAGCUCAUCCAGCAGUUUUUCCUCAUUGUGGAGCUCCUCCUCUGCUCCAUGAGGGCCCCAGGUACAGCUCCAUAGGUCCUGGUAGGAGUGAGCUGCUGAAAAGCUGAACCUAAAUCCCCUUUGUGAAUCCAGCCCCUUUGUAGAUGCCAGCUGUGCUUGGAAAUUUGGCCAAGGAUUUUAAAAUCACUUUGUAGAUCCAGCCCUCAGGCACCUUUGACAAUCCCUCCAUAGGAAAUGAGGUUUUUUUCGCCAUAAGUGUGAAACAGGGUAUAGCUCUGACUGGUUUUAGUGCAGCUAAGAUCAUGUAGCACUUUUUAUAGACUGCCAAAGGGUCUAAAUAUGGUCAGUAAACCAGAAGGUGUUUUAAGGGGAGUAGACAGAAAGGGGUUUGGUCUGCAUGGGCUCAUUGACAUCUGUAUUUAAGGCAUGGGGGGGUUCAGUGAUGCCUUUGGGGGAGAAUGCAGCUACUUGCACUUUAUUUCAAUCCUGCAAUUUCAGUGCCAAGCCACUGGACUUGAGGAGAGAUAAUUCUUUUCCUUUUCCUUGCCUCUGAAUGCACAGGCAAGCAAAUAAUGAGGCAUUGUACGCCAGCCCACUGUACAGAAAACCAAUUCACAGAAGAGCCUGGCCUUUCAAUGAUUACUUUUACUUCCAAUUCAUUAUUUUAAGCAAGCUAGGUUUUCAGCACUCAGCUUCCCCUAGGAGAAAAACAAACCAACACUUUCAUACGUCAAGGUGUGUACAAGGAUUUUGAAGCAAAACUGACUGUGGACCAUUGACGACCCAAGCUGAAACACCCAAAACUCUGCAGAUGAAUGGAUGCAUGCUUUGCUGUAGUGAAGGGCUCUUACAAGCAGGCUGCUGUCGUCUACCUCUUGGAGCCUGAGGUCUCGUGGAGACAACAAUCGCUUUUGUUUUGCCAAGGAAAAAUAUGUAAUAGUAUAUUUGUUUUAACAAAGAAAGGUAUCCUGUGAAGUGGGCUCCUGGGGACCUGAAUUUUUACCAUACGGGCUCCAGGCUGCAACUGUAAGAAAGUUUGGGAUGGCUUGUGGUCUACAGGCUCACUGACAAAUGUGUGAUUUAAUGUGGAGAAACACCAGCACAAUGACCCUUUCACAGACCUCUUUAAAACAUUAUUGUUUCCUGUCUUCCAGCAGUCACUUCUGGAAACUCAAACGUAACGCUGAACCCUUCACUGGUUUUAAUGUCACCUUCACAUAACUGCUCCCCUUUGGAAAGAGAUGCACAGGUGUUAAUCCACUUAUGCUUUUCAUCUGUACCAAAGGGGGCUAGGAGAAAAUGCUCUCUGUGUUUCGCAUCCACCAGCUUCCCUUGCCUCGUGUUACAAGAAGGCUUUGUGAGUACAUCCAAAGAGUUUUUCCUUUGCAAGCCCCUGGAAUCUUCAGAGGAAUUGCUUCCCGAGUUUUGUUCUGUGCAGCAAAAGCUGUACCAAAACCAUCCUUGCUUUGAAGUUGGCUGGAAGAGGGUUUUGGAUGCUGGAGCUAAGGACAUGGCAAAAUUUCUUCCUGUAUCCACAAAAAAAAUCUUUUUUUGUGAGACUCAGCUGCAUCCCACUUGCAACCUCUUGUUGCUCAGCUCCUUAGAUGACACAGCCACUAAAAAUCUCCUUUUACCACCAACUUAUACCACAGUUUACUUACUACCCUUGAGGUUUUUAACUCAAAUUUUGACUUCAACACGUGGGUGCAUUGAAACCCUAGCACUGUAUGUUGUGUGUUUUCUUGUCACCUUUUUAUGCUGCCUGAAAGGGGUUUAGUUGCUUAAGGGACACAUGGUUAGGUUAAGGGUUGGACUUGGUGAUCUUAAAGGUAUUUUCCUACAUGAUUCUCUGAUUUCAUUGUGUGAAUAUGAAAAUGUGAAGUUGUUGAAGCAAAUAAGCCUUGUCCAGAGGGAACAAACUAAUAAAAUAGAUAUUUUUUUUUUUCCCUGA